rnacentral:lncRNA from 1 species
UGUGAUGUUGAUGAUACUACCAUGGUAUUUACUAUUAACUUAAUAUCAGCAAAAUAAUUUCUCAUGUGAUUGAACUCAAGCAGGCAUUCAGUUCUGGGACAAGUAUCCUGUGUGAAUCGCUUAAACCUGUCAAGGAAUCUGUAGUGCCCAUGUUGCAGCUCCAAAAAGACAAUGAACAACAUGAAAGUAGCGUAUCCAUUGAUAUAGAGAAAGUAUCCAGGUUUACUGAUAAUGAUCAUGUACUCUCUCCUGGAAAUGAUAAAUAUCCAGCUCCUUCAACCCCACAAUUGAUGCAUGGGACAAGAUUGUUAGACGAUGGUGAUUGCCAAGAGCAGACUAAUUGCUCAACAGAAAAAGAAAGUGGGGAACAUGAUGGAGAAUCUAAAUCUGUCGAAACUACAUGUGGAAAUUUGAAUGCUGAAACUGAAAGUACUGCUCAAGAGAGGAAAUCGGAAAUUACUUUGGCUAGGAAGGAAGUGGAUUUAGUUGACACUUCCAAGGGUGAGAGUGUUGCUUCUCUACAUACACAAAAAAGAAAGGUUGUAAGCAACACUGACAAAAAUACAAAAUCUCCAAAUAAAGUAGGUGUUCGUAGUGAUUCAUGUGAGAUAAGACCAAGUCGGAAGAAGAUGAAAGUAAGUUGCUUUACGACUAUUCAUUGAUGUUUCGGUUCCUCUAACCCUCUUGCCCAUGCUGCUGUUUGCUUGAAAAUUACAGUGACUGUCUGACACAUUUUGAAAAAUGUUUCCCAUUUAUUGUGCCUGCAUAUCCUGGAGAGUUGAUGUAGAAAACUCGGACAUGAUUCCAUUUGAUAUUCAUAAUCAUGAAGUGAUAAUUAACUGAAAACUAGUAAUGGAAGUGUCAAACUUAACUAAUCUAUGAUUGGAAAUCUAGGAAAUACUCUUACAGUUUUGGUACUUGUUUUGGUCGCAGGUAGACUGGACGCCUGAGCUGCACAAAAAAUUUGUGAAGGCAGUUGAGCAACUAAGCAUUGAUCAAGCCAUUCCUUCUAGAAUAUUAGAAUUAAUGAAAGUGGAGGGCUUGACAAGGCAUAAUGUGGCAAGCCAUCUUCAGGUCAUUUUAUACAUUACUGAGAAUUAUGGUUGAUCAAUUUUGUAUCCGCAAUACUGAAACAAGUUUUUAAAUAAACAGAAGUACAGAAUGCACAAGAGACAAAUCUUUCCCAAGGAAGAAGAUCGGAAAUGGUUGAAUCAAAGAGAAAGGAGCUAUUGUCUUCAAAGACCAAUUAUGGCCUUUCCUCCAUAUCAUUCUAAUCACACACUUCCUCUGGCUCCUGUAUAUCCUAUGUGGGGACAAUCUAGCAGUCAAACGGCUGGCAUGCAGAUUUGGAGCUCUCCUGGUUAUCCCUUGUGGCAGCCUACUGCUGAAAAUUGGCACUGGAAACCAUUUCCAAGGGUAAUAUUUUAUUUUCGGAAUAUGAUGUUUUUCUUCCAUGUUAUAUAGCUCUCAGGCUUGUGAGAUGUCGAUUUUGCGGUUAUGAAUGUAGUUUGACCUAUGGUUACUUGAUCUUUCAGAUGCAUGCAGAUGCAUGGGGCUGUCCAGUGUUACCAGUACCACCACCUCCUCAAGCUCCUUUUCCCUACUCUCAGGUUAGUAUCAGCAAAACGAAGAUAUUAACCUAGUAUCUGUAGUAUUUUGCAUGUUAAUGAUUAGUGUCUCUCUAUGCAUGAUUCAUUUUUUCUAGUUAUUUAUCUGUGAUACUAAUCAUAUAUUUUUCAUCAAACCUCAGAAUAUGCCUGCGUUGCUCAAUGCUGAUGCUGCAGAUCACACGUUUACCAUGCCACAAAGUUCCUUAGAGCAUUAUCCGGUAUGCAACACUGUCAGUUUUUUUCUACUUGAUCAUGGUGGCCACUGGCCAGUCACUCAUAUAUACAUGCAUUCUAAUUGGCUCUCAGGAACUUCAUGUUGAGAUGAAAUUAUAACUGAACUCAAAAGCCUUAGAAAGAUGACAAUGAGGAAACUUAAGUGUAUUGUACUCAAUCAGUGUAGAAUUGCAUGAAAUAGCUGGGGACGUUUAGAAGUAGGUUGGAAAUAGAUUUCUAACAGGCAUGCAUGUUACAAUAGUUAAGUCUUUGAUAAACUUUUGUAUAAACACUAAGAAGAAAAUAAAGAAAUAAAAUGGAUUAAUUUCUCUAAUAAGAUAAAAAGUUAUACAUAAUAUUGUGUCCAGUCAAGCACAUGUGAUAUGAGAUCAUGAUGGAUGUUGUUCUUGUAGUGCUAAAUCAAGUGGUGUAGUUCUAGCUAAACUUGAAUGCAACAGGGAUGAAGUCGUUGAGUCUUAUAAUAAUUAACUAAGCCAGUUUUUUAGUGAAAUCCAAACAAACUCAAUGAUCUCUCACCAUGUAGUGUGUUAUACCAUGCAUGCAUGCAGGCACAGGAGGUGGUUGACAAGGUUGUGAAAGAGGCAGUAAGCAAGCCAUGGUUACCCUUGCCUUUGGGCCUG